CAGGCUCCAGCAAGCACACCCUGCCAUCGUGCAUAAUCAAACCCUUUGAACUGAACCACCUUUCCCACAAGGAUCUGCCAAGAGGCAAUAUGUGGAGGGACACAGAGAUUUGUCUGCUGGCCAAGACUGUCAUUGACCAGGGGAAGCUCAUACCAGGUGACGUUAUGAUGUGAUUGACUUCACACGAGCUGAAAAAUCUCACCCAGUCUCACUGGCUGUUGCAUGGUUUCACCAGGAUACUUCCACAGGCUGAAGGCCUAGAUUGAGUUUAUCAGAUACACCUGAUGAUGAACCCGAACAUGCAAUCUGAGGUCAUCAAGCUACGCCUCACUGUUUGCUGGAUUCAUCCAGCCAAUAGCCAAGUCAACAACCUCGAAUUCAACCCUCCAAAACAGUCUGCAUUAUGAUCUGACUUUAACAAGAGGUUGAAGGUUUACUAAUCCCAAAUGCAAGUGGUCCUGGAAUAAUGCCAGAAAAAAGGGGUGUUCAAUCUUCAGAAGAGAAACCAACAAGAUCUGGCCCAAUGUACAUGCUUUCCCACAAACAAAAGUUCCCCAAAUAAACCAGAAAGCAUUAGUUACUC
rnacentral:lncRNA from 1 species